rnacentral:rRNA from 1 species
UACGUAGGGGGCAAGCGUUGUCCGGAAUCAUUGGGCGUAAAGCGCGCGUAGGCGGCCCGGUAAGUCCGUUGUGAAAGUCAAAGGCUCAACCUUUGAACGCCGAUGGAUACUGCCGGGCUAGAGUCCGGAAGAGGCGAGUGGAAUUCCUGGUGUAGCGGUGGAAUGCGCAGAUAUCAGGAGGAACACCAAUGGCGAAGGCGGCUC